UGAGCCAGGUGACGUUCAUGCAAAUUGUACCUUUCAGUAUCAGCUUGCAAAGAAGCCAAGAACAUCAUUUUUUCUGCUUGGUUCUGCCCUCUCCAUUGUUUUAUAUGCAUCAUCCAUGGUGGCCAUGACACGGUAGCACAACCAUUAAGUAUGGCUUUUAUGGUGGAUCCAGAAUUUCUUAUCUGCUUUGCAAACAACUUAAGUAAACCUUACUUGACUUGUAUAUGUUGACCUCCUGGAGUUUGAUGAGUUUAAGAGAAAAA
rnacentral:lncRNA from 1 species